rfam:Fukomys damarensis contig155068, whole genome shotgun sequence.
UAGUCAAUGAUGAGCAUAUUGUUUUGUCCCGAAGAGAGAUGAUGAUACUGAUAUAAUGCUCCACAGAACUGCUCUGAAGCCU